rnacentral:lncRNA from 1 species
GGAUGUUGAGGCACCAAAACCUGGCUCUAUCAUUGUCUAUCACAGGACAACUCACUACUAUCUUUUGGUCACAGUCUCCUUAAUUGUAAAAUAAAGGUGCCAAACUAGAUGAGAUUAAAUACUUCACCAAAUUAUAGAACAUGAAGUUGAAGGAACGGAAGAAAUUCCAUACCUGAAAGCCUUGUUGAGACUCUUCCCCCCAUGUGCCUGGAAAGAGCUCCCCAGGAACUAUUUCCAAACUGGAAGCCUAGAAUUAGACUAUGCCAGGAGAUGGGAGACUGAUGCCCGAAGCAACGAAUUCACUCUCGGACCUAGAACAAACUCUUCUGUGUCCAUGAGCUCCAAUUUCUACAUUAACAGAGAAAGAAAAUAACAAACAUCUAGUACACAGGGUUGGCACAAACUAUAAGAAUAAUAUACUCUCCAAUAAAGAAAUGGCACAGAUCCUAAAACUCGAUCUA